ACAGCAGCCGCCGCGGUAAUACGUAGGGUGCGAGCGCUAAUCGGAAUUACUGGGCGUAAAGCGUGCGCAGGCGGUUGUGUAAGACAGGUGUGAAAUCCCCGGGCUUAACCUGGGAACUGCGCUUGUGACUGCACAGCUAGAGUAUGGCAGAGGGGGGUGGAAUUCCACGUGUAGCAGUGAAAUGCGUAGAGAUGUGGAGGAACACCGAUGGCGAAGGCAGCCCCCUGGGCCAAUACUGACGCUCAUGCACGAAAGCGUGGGGAGCAAACAGGAUUAGAUACCCCUGUAGUCCCUGUCUCUUAUAC
rnacentral:rRNA from 1 species